rnacentral:rRNA from 1 species
UACGAAGGGGGCUAGCGUUGCUCGGAAUUACUGGGCGUAAAGCGCACGUAGGCGGAUUGUUAAGUCGGGGGUGAAAUCCUGGAGCUCAACUCCAGAACUGCCUUCGAUACUGGCGAUCUCGAGUUCGGGAGAGGUGAGUGGAACUGCGAGUGUAGAGGUGAAAUUCGUAGAUAUCAGGAGGAACACCGGUGGCGAAGGCGGGUCUCUGGGCAACAACUGACGCUGAGGAGCGAAAGCGUGGGGAGCGAACAGG